GAGGUUACCGCAAAUCAUAAACACACAACCAAUUUACAAAAAAUAUCAUCUUCAGCUUAUAAAAUAAAAUAAAAUAAAAUAAAAACGCCACACACACAAAGCUACCCAACAGGAGCACCAAUGUUUGAUGGAAGCAACCAUCCAGCAUGGGCCGUAAGAAUAAGAGUUCAUAUCAAUGCACAAGACCUUUGGGGAGUAGUUGAGGAAGACUACGAAGUUCCUGAUCUGCCU
rnacentral:misc_RNA from 1 species